AUGGCUGUAAUAGAGGAACUCGGGGCCUUAGAUUCCACCCCUCGCCUAACCCCUGACAGCCACAAAGAGGGUUCCACACCUCGUUGGGGACCAGUUCCCGAGCAGGGCUCCGAGCACCCUCUCCAGGGAGUGACGCGAGGGACCUCGGGGACUCUGACGCUCCUCCCGGGCCUCGUGGGCCCUCACAGAAAUGGCAGGGCAUUGGGGCAAGCUCCGCCCGCUGCGCAGGCCGAAAGGUUUCUAGAGCAUCCAGAAAGCUCGCCUGACCCUGAGAGGCGAGCCUCCGCCAGGCCGACCGCGUCCACCUCGCAGGUGCGCCGGAACUAACACCAGGACUCAGAGGCCGCCAUCAACCGCCAGAUCAGCCUGGAGCUCUGCGCCUCCAACGCUUACCUGUCCAUGUCUUGCUACUUCGACCGCGAUGAUGUGGCCUUGAAGAAUUUUGCCAAAUACUUUCUUCACCAAUCUCAUGAGGAGAGGGAACAUGCCGAGAAACUGAUGAAGCUGCAGAACAACCAGGUGGCCGAAUCUUCCUUCAGGAUAUCAAGAAACCAGACUGUGAGGACUGGGGUGGGAGAGCGGGCUGAAUGCGAUGGAGUGUGCAUUACAUUUGGAAAAAAAAUGUGAAUCAGUCACUACUGGAACUGCACAAACUGGCCACUGAUAAAAAUGACCCUCAUUUGUGUGACUUCAUUGAGACACAUUACCUGAAUGAGCAGGUGAAAGCCAUCAAAGAAUUAGGUGACCACGUGACCAACUCGCGCAAGAUAGGAGCACCCGAAUCAGGCUUGGCAGAGUAUCUCUUUGACAAGCACACCCUGGGAGACAGUGAUAAUGAAAGCUAAGCCUCAGGCUAAUUUCCCCAUAGCCAUGGGGUGACUUCCCUGGUCACUAAGGCAGUGCAUGCAUGUUGGGGUAUCCUUUACCUUUUCUAUAAGUUGUACCAAAACGUCCACUUAAGUUCUUUGAUUUGUACCAUUCCUUCAAAUAAAGAAACUUGGUA